rnacentral:tRNA from 1 species
GCCCACGUAGCUCAGGGGAUAGAGCACUUGCCUCCGGAGCAAGGGGCCGCAGGUUCGAAUCCUGCCGUGGGCG